UUGACAGUCCAGAAAAGUGAAGUUUAUCCCCAGAAAAGGAACAACAGUACAGUUUUAUUCACUCCACUCUGUCAUACCAACAUGCCUCAACCAUGUACCGGAAGUGCUGAGGUGAGAUGGUAGUUCAGUCUCCAUGCUCAUUCAGUCUUUGUCUUCU
rnacentral:sRNA from 1 species